AACGUAGGAGACAAACGUUAUCCGGAGUUACUGGGCGUAAAGGGCGUGUAGGCGGUCUGUUAAGUCUGGCGUGAAAGCUCUCGGCUAAACCGGGAGAGGUCGUUGGAUACUGGCAGACUAGAGGACGGUAGAGGCGUGUGGAAUUCCGGGUGUAGUGGUGAAAUGCGCAGAUAUCGGGAGGAACACCAAUGGCGAAGGCAGCUCGCUGGGACGUUACUGACGCUGAGACGCGAAAGCGUGGGGAGCAAACAGG
rnacentral:rRNA from 1 species